UGGGGAAUUUUGGACAAUGGGCGCAAGCCUGAUCCAGCCAUGCCGCGUGCGGGAAGAAGGCCUUCGGGUUGUAAACCGCUUUUGUCAGGGAAGAAAUCUUCUGAGUUAAUACCUCGGGAGGAUGACGGUACCUGAAGAAUAAGCACCGGCUAACUACGUGCCAGCAGCCGCGGUAAUACGUAGGGUGCAAGCGUUAAUCGGAAUUACUGGGCGUAAAGCGUGCGCAGGCGGUUUUGUAAGACAGAGGUGAAAUCCCCGGGCUCAACCUGGGAACUGCCUUUGUGACUGCAAGGCUUGAGUGCGGCAGAGGGGGAUGGAAUUCCGCGUGUAGCAGUGAAAUGCGUAGAUAUGCGGAGGAAACACCGAUGGCGAAGGCAAUCCCCUGGGCCUGCACUGACGCUCAUGCACGAAAGCGUGGGGAGCAAACAGGAUUAGAUAGCCCUGGUAGGUCCACGCCCUAAAACCGAUGUCAACUGGUUGUUGGGAAGGUUCCUUCUCAGUAACGUAGCUAACGCGUGAAGUUGACCGCCUGGGGAGUACGGCCGCAAGGUUGAAACUCAAAUGAAUUGACGGGGUCAUAGCUAUUU
rnacentral:rRNA from 1 species